CCUGCUCUGCUCAUUGGCAACAUCAUGAGCGGCGAGCACCACUUCAAUGGGAGAUGCAUUGCAGCUGCUUGCUGCAAACUUCAGAAAACGUGCACCAGGUUUUUGUGAAAAUACACUUCGGACCUUGGAGAGAAGGAGGAACAUUCUGUGUGUGCAACGGGGUGAGAAAUCUUCUACACAUGUGUUCAAGAAAAAAGAAAGUGCAAGUAGCAGUUAAAGUUAAUGGCAAGAAUAUUGCUGCAAGAACAUGGUUGCAGCGAAGAUUUCUAUAAAGGGACAAGCUGCAAAGGAGUCAGAUAAAGACAAACUAAGAAAACUGCUGGGAAUGCACAAACCCCCAUGCUGUUACAUGUCAAUCAGGAAGCAUAGACUGCUGUAGCCCAAAUGCUGCAAUCUGAAGGGGACCUUCCAGGUCUGGAAUUGCUCAGACCACAGGGGAUGGUAACUACAGCACUCAUGACUGAGAACAAAUGAUCUGACCAAGUAGAGUGAAAGCCUUCACCACAUGCAACAUCACACUCCCUGUCGACCUCAUCUACUUUAAAUAGCUGUGGAAAACUCACAGAUGUGCUGAUCCAGACAGAACUAGUAGAAAUUAAUCAGGAACUGACUUAAAAGGUGCCUUCAAAUAACACAGAUGAAGCUCUUCCCAUUGCUGAAUGUACAUUUGUCUCUGCAUUUUUAAAAGGGAGUAUUAGCUGAAGCAGCAUUUGAUAAAAUUAUUAUACACCGACUGAUGCCACAAUAUGUCUGUCACACACAUUUCUGCUGUCUGCAUCUGUACAU